rnacentral:rRNA from 1 species
GAUGAACGCUAGCGGCAGGCCUAAUACAUGCAAGUCGAACGGUCCGCUUCGGCGGAUAGUGGCGCACGGGUGCGUAACACGUAUGCAACCUACCUUACAUUGGGGGAUAGCCUUUCGAAAGGGAGAUUAAUACCGCAUAAGACAGUAGCUGGGCAUCCAGUAGCUGUUAAAGAUUUAUCGAUGUAAGCUGGGCAUGCGUCCAAUUAGUUAGUUGGUGAGGUAACGGCUCACCAAGACGAUGAUUGGUAGGGGAACUGAGAGGUCGAUCCUCCACACUGGAACUGGGAUACGGGCCGGACUCCUACGGGAGGCAGCAGUAGGGAAUAUUGGACAAUGGACGCAAGUCUGACCCAGCCAUGCCGCGUGCAGGAAGAAGGCGUUCUGCGUUGUAAACUGCUUUUAUAUAGGAAGAAACGACCCUUGCGAGGGGCAUUGACGGUAUUAUAUGAAUAAGCACCGGCUAACUCCGUGCCAGCAGGCGCCGCAGUAA